CCUGUCUGAUCCCUCCCUCUCCUCCCCGAGUUCCACCGCCCCAGGCGCACAGGUUUCCGCCAGAUGUCUUUUCUUCUUCGCAGUCUUUGCCCGAGCGCUUCCGAGAGCCAGUUCUGGACUGAUCGCCUUGGAUGGGAUACCGGGGGAGGGCAGAAGGACACUUGGCUUCCUCUCCAGGAAUCUGAGCGGCCCUGAGGUCCGGGGGCGCAGGGAAUCCCCUCUCCCGCCGCCGCCGCCGUGUCUGGUCUGUACGUCUUUAGAGGGUCGAGGAAGUCACGUCGGGACAGACUGGGGCGAGUAAGGUUAAGAAAGGCUGACAUGUUUUAUGUUUUAGUGACGACGCUUAAUAGGCUGUAUAUCUGCUCUAUAUGCAGCACAUACAUACAUAGCUUUUUAAAAAACUCUUAUUUUGUGGAAUGAAAUAGCUACCUUCAGUGUACAUAGCUGUAAUUUAUCUUUGUAGCUAAGUUGCUUUCAACAGAAGAAAUACUGUUCUCCGUACCUUCACCCCCUCCUUGUUUCUUGGAAAGAGAGGCGGGAAAGGUAAAUUCUCCUCAUAAUACUGGUCCUAAGCAGUUACCCUGUAAAUAGUUAAUGUGAGCUCCACGGGUCACCAAUAUAAAGUUUCCUGCCUUCUGAUGGACAAAGGAAGCGGCGAUGGCCAGAAUUUGCAGGGACGCUAAAUGUCCAAAACGUAUGCCUUAAGGCAUUUCUCUCCCUGAUGCGUGGAUUAUUUUGGUUACUAGCCCUUCAUAGGAGAUACUGGUAAAAUAAAUUCGAGUUUUAAAGUUCA